rnacentral:rRNA from 1 species
AACGAACGCUGGCGGCAUGCCUAACACAUGCAAGUCGAACGAAGUCUUCGGACUUAGUGGCGCACGGGUGAGUAACGCGUGGGAACCUGCCCUUCGGUACGGAAUAACGUCGGGAAACUGACGCUAAUACCGUAUAUGUCUCUGGAUGAAAGAUUUAUCGCCGGAGGAGGGGCCCGCGUCUGAUUAGCUAGUUGGUGAGGUAAUGGCUCACCAAGGCGACGGUCAGUAGCUGGUCUGAGAGGAUGAUCAGCCACACUGGGACUGAGACACGGCCCAGACUCCUACGGGAGGCAGCAGUGGGGAAUAUUGGACAAUGGGGGCAACCCUGAUCCAGCAAUGCCGCGUGAGUGAUGAAGGCCUUCGGGUUGUAAAGCUCUUUUGGCAGGGACGAUGAUGACGGUACCUGCAGAAUAAGCCCCGGCUAACUUCGUGCCAGCCGCCGCCGUAAUAC